CGUCGUGGUGAUGGCCGACCUGGGCUCCCUGACCUAUGCACACCUCUGCUAUGGGGGUGAUGGCCAGUCCUGGUGUCUAAGUGAUU